UGAUGAAAACCUUUAUAUUAACAACUUGAAUUUCUUCAUCCGAUU
rnacentral:snRNA from 1 species